UGGGUAAUGCGUGACCAACCUGCCCCAUGCUCCAGAAUAGCUCUUGGAAACGGGUGGUAAUGCUGGAUGCUCCAACUUGACGCAUGUCUUGUUGGGAAAGUGUUUAGUGGCAUGGGAUGGGGUCGCGUCCUAUCAGCUUGUAGGCGGGGUAAUGGCCCACCUAGGCUUCGACGGGUAGCCGGCCUGAGAGGGCGGACGGCCACAUUGGGACUGAGAUACGGCCCAGACUCCUACGGGAGGCAGCAGCC
rnacentral:rRNA from 1 species